rnacentral:rRNA from 1 species
GGCGUGCCUAACACAUGCAAGUCGAACGAGAAAGUGGAGCAAUCCAUGAGUAAAGUGGCGACCGGGUGAGUAACACGUGACUAACCUACCUCCGAGUGGGGAAUAACUCCGGGAAACCGGGGCUAAUACCGCAUAACAUCGCAAGAUCAAAGCAGCAAUGCGCUUGGAGAGGGGGUCGCGGCUGAUUAGCUCGUUGGCGGGGUAACGGCCCACCAAGGCGAAGAUCGGUAUCCGGCCUGAGAGGGCGCACGGACACACUGGAACUGAAACACGGUCCAGACUCCUACGGGAGGCAGCAGUGGGGAAUUUUGCGCAAUGGGGGAAACCCUGACGCAGCAACGCCGCGUGGAGGAUGAAGCCCUUUGGGGCGUAAACUCCUUUCGACUCGGACGAUAAUGACGGUACGAGUGGAAGAAGCACCGGCUAACUCUGUGCCAGCAGCCGCGGUAAUACAGAGGGUGCGAGCGUNGUUCGGAAUUAUUGGGCGUAAAGGGCGCGUAGGCGGUGCGGUAAGUCACCUGUGAAAUCUCCCGGCUUAACUGGGAGCCUGCAGGCGAAACUACCGUGCUG